GACGAACGCUGGCGGCGUGCUUAACACAUGCAAGUCGAACGGAAAGGCCCUGCUUUUGUGGGGUGCUCGAGUGGCGAACGGGUGAGUAACACGUGAGUAACCUGCCCUUGACUUUGGGAUAACUUCAGGAAACUGGGGCUAAUACCGGAUAGGAGCUCCUGCUGCAUGGUGGGGGUUGGAAAGUUUCGGCGGUUGGGGAUGGACUCGCGGCUUAUCAGCUUGUUGGUGGGGUAGUGGCUUACCAAGGCUUUGACGGGUAGCCGGCCUGAGAGGGUGACCGGCCACAUUGGGACUGAGAUACGACCCAGACUCCUACAGGAGGCAGCAGUGCAGAAUAUUCCACAAUGGGCGGAAGCCUGAUGCAGCAACGCCGCGUGCGGGAUGACGGCCUUCGGGUUGUAAACCGCUUUCGCCUGUGACGAAGCGUGAGUGACGGUAAUGGGUAAAGAAGCACCGGCUAACUACGUG
rnacentral:rRNA from 1 species